rnacentral:rRNA from 1 species
ACUGAACGCUGGCGGCAGGCCUAACACAUGCAAGUCGAGCGGAUGAGGAAAGCUUGCUUUUCGAUUCAGCGGCGGACGGGUGAGUAAUGCCUAGGAAUCUGCCUGUUAGUGGGGGAUAACUCGGGGAAACUCGGGCUAAUACCGCAUACGUCCUACGGGAGAAAGUGGGGGAUCUUCGGACCUCACGCUAACAGAUGAGCCUAGGUCGGAUUAGCUAGUUGGUGAGGUAAUGGCUCACCAAGGCGACGAUCCGUAACUGGUCUGAGAGGAUGAUCAGUCACACUGGAACUGAGACACGGUCCAGACUCCUACGGGAGGCAGCAGUGGGGAAUAUUGGACAAUGGGCGAAAGCCUGAUCCAGCCAUGCCGCGUGUGUGAAGAAGGUCUUCGGAUUGUAAAGCACUUUAAGUUGGGAGGAAGGGUAUUCACCUAAUACGUGGGUACUUUGACGUUACCAACAGAAUAAGCACCGGCUAACUCUGUGCCAGCCGCCGCCGUAAGAC